CCGGCGAGUUACUAAUAUUAGCGAGGUUAAAUACUAACAAGGUAUGGAGCCGAAGGGAAACCGAGUCUGAAAAGGGCGAGAAGUUAGUAUUAGUAGACCCGAAACCGGGUGACCUAUCCAUGUCCAGGUUGAAGUUACCGUAAAAGGUAAUGGAGGACCGAACGCACAUCUGUUGAAAAAGGUGGCGAUGAGGUGUGGAUAGCGGAGAAAUUCCAAUCGAACUCGGAGAUAGCUGGUUCUCCUCGAAAUAGCUUUAGGGCUAGCCUCGAGAGGAGUCUAACGGAGGUAAAGCACUGAACUGACGCGGGGCCCAAAAAGGUUACCAACUCAAAUCAAACUAAGAAUGCCGUCAAGAUACCCUCGGGAGUCAGACUACGGGAGAUAAGUUUCGUGGUCAAAAGGGAAAGAGCCCAGACCGACAGCUAAGGUCCCAAAGUGUGUGUUAAGUGGAAAAGGAUGUGGGAUUUCGUAGACAACUAGGAUGUUGGCUUAGAAGCAGCCAUACAUUUAAAGAGUGCGUAAUAGCUCACUAGUCGAGAGAACCUGCGCCGAAAAUAAUCGGGGCUAAAACACACCACCGAAGCUACGGAUUUCCUGCUUAAGGCAGGAAGUGGUAGAGGAGCAUACUGCAAGGACGAAGCCUGAUUGAGAGAGAAGGUGGACGAAGCAGUAGAGAGAAUGCCGGAAUGAGUAGCGAGAUAUAUGUGAGAACCAUAUAGGCCGAAUAUCUAAGGAUUCCUGAGUGAAGCUAAUCUGCUCAGGGUAAGUCGGGACCUAAGGCGAGGACGAGAGUCGUAGUCGAUGGACAACUGGUAGAGAUUCCAGUACUAUGUAUAAUCAGAACUGUGGGGACGCAGGAGGAUAGAUGGACCGCGGAAAGGGAAGACGCGGCCAAGUACAAAGUCAAGUUAGGUAGGCAAAUCCGCCAAAUGAUGAUGAAGUACGACGGGGACUGAAAGAAAGUAAGGAAGUCAUUGAAUCCACACUGCCGAGAAAAGCCGCUAUAGUGUUAUACAUACCCGUACCGUAAACCGACACAGGUAGAUGAGGAGAAAAUCCACAGGCCGACGGGAGAAGUGUUGUUAAGGAACUCGGCAAAAUGACCCCGUAACUUAGGGAGAAGGGGAGCCACGAGAGUGGUCACAGAAAAGAGGCUCAAGCAACUGUUUAGCAAAAACACAGGUCUAUGCGAAACCGAAAGGUGAAGUAUAUGGGCUGACACCUGCCCGGUGCUGGAAGGUUAAGAGGAGAGGUUAGCCGCAAGGCGAAGCUUUGAAUUCAAGCCCCAGUAAACGGCGGCCGUAACUAUAACGGUCCUAAGGUAGCGAAAUUCCUUGUCAGGUAAGUUCUGACCCGCACGAAAGGUGUAAUGAUUUGAGCACUGUCUCGACAACACGCCCGGUGAAAUUGAAGAACCAGUGAAGAUACUGGUUACCCGCAACAGGACGGAAAGACCCCAUGGAGCUUUACUGCAGCCUGAUACUGGGAUUCGAUGAUGCAUGUACAGGAUAGGUGGGAGACUGCGAAGGUAGGACGCCAGUCUUGCCGGAGUCGCCGGUGGGAUACCUCUCUUACAUCAUUGGAUUUCUAACCUGCAUCCGUGAACCGGAUGAGGGACAAUGUCAGGCGGGCAGUUUGACUGGGGCGGUCGCCUCCAAAAGAGUAACGGAGGCGCUCAAAGGUCUUCUCAGAAUGAUUGGAAACCAUUCAAAGAGUGUAAAGGCAAAAGAAGGCUUGACUGCGAGGUCGACGGACCGAGCAGGUACGAAAGUAGGACUUAGUGAUCCGGUGGUAAUACGUGGGAAUGCCAUCGCUCAACGGAUAAAAGCUACCCUGGGGAUAACAGGCUGAUCUCCCCCAAGAGUUCACAUCGACGGGGAGGUUUGGCACCUCGAUGUCGGCUCAUCGCAUCCUGGGGCUGAAGUAGGUCCCAAGGGUUGGGCUGUUCGCCCAUUAAAGCGGUACGCGAGCUGGGUUCAGAACGUCGUGAGACAGUUCGGUCCCUAUCCGUUGUGGGCGUAGGAAAUUUGAGAGGAGCUGUCCUUAGUACGAGAGGACCGGGAUGGACGAACCGCUGGUGUAUCUGUUGCAUACCAAAUGCACGGCAGAGUAGCUAAGUUCGGAACGGAUAAACGCUGAAGGCAUCUAAGCGUGAAGCCGCCCUCAAGAUGAGAUUUCCCAUUCGAAAGAAGUAAGACCCCUUGAAGACUACGAGGUAGAUAGGUCAGAGGUGUAAGUGCGGUAACGUAUUGAGCUUACUGAUACUAAUAGGUCGAGGGCUUGACCGA
rnacentral:rRNA from 1 species